AGGGAGUAGUAGACAAAAUAGAGGAUGUGAGCAAAAUAUUCUCUUUAUUUUAAAAUUUUAAAAUACUUUGUAGCUUAAACCAUCGCUCCGAUUAAAAAAAUGUUAUGACAUAAAAAAUUCAUUGCGACGAGACCUUCAAAACUAGAUUCCAGGUUGGCAUGUUUCGUUGACUUUUUUUUCGGGCAAAAAGUUACCAUGUGUGUGCUACGCAAGUUAUCAUGCGAGUUGAGAUAAGUUAUCAUGUUGACUACACAUAAUUUGCGGGAGCAUAAAAAUGAUUCCUUCAACAUUCUUUUUCGCAUGCACAUGCAUGCAUGCGUUACAGGAAAAAAUGAUGGUCCGUGAUGCAUAUAGUACCGUGCUAUUUGCAUAGAAGUAAUUGGGAUAUGUUUCAACAACUUUUUAUUCAGGUCUAAAUUUACAACGGUGUUUGUACCUAAGUUAUCAGGUCUGCGACGUGUGAAUUACCAUGCUUUUCCCGCAAAAGUUACCAGGGGGUUGGGGGGUUAUAUUUCACCAACAGCCCUCCCCCACCCAUCACCAUCGCCGCCAAAAGUUACCAGGACUGGGGUACAUAAGUUAUCAUGUUUGCGAUGUGUAAGUUAUCAUGCUAUUUACACAAAUAGUUAUCGAGGUAUAUUUCAUCAACAUCCCCCCACCUCACCACCGUCACCAAAGUUACUAGGAUUGUCGUACAUAAGUUAUCAAGUCUGCGAUGUGUGAGUUAUCUUGCUAUUCACACACAAAGUUACCGGGGGUACAUUUCAUCAACCAACCCCACCCGGUCACAAAAUUUACCAAGACUGGGUGACAUUAGUUAUCAGGUCUACAAAGUGUGAGUUACCAUGCUAUUCACAUAAAAGUUACCGGGGUAUAUUUCAUCACCCUUCCCUCGCAAAAAGUACGAGGACCGAGGUGCAUAAGUUAUCGGGUCUUCGAUAUGUGAGUUAUCAUGCUAUUCACAUAAAGUUUACCUGAGGGUACUUGAUCACCCCCCCUCACACACUGAUAAUCCACAAGUAUAGGGGAUCGCAACAGUUUUCGAGGGUAAAGUAUUCAACCCAAAUUUGUUGAUUCGACAUAAGGGGAAGCCAAAAAAUAUUCUUGAGUAUUAGCAGUUGAGUUGUCAAUUUAACCACACCUGAAAGACUUAGUAUCUGCAGCAAAGUUUCAGUAGCAAAGUAGUGUGAUAGUAACAGUAGUAGCAGUAACAGUAGCAGUAGUGACAGCAGUAGCGGUAACAGCAUCAGCGGUAGAGUAACGUAGCAAGGACCAGUAGGAAAAGCUCGUAGGCAUUGGAUCGGUGAUGGAUAAUUAUGUCGGAUGACAUUCAUCAUGUAACAGUUAUAACAUGGGGUGAUUUGUAACUAGCUCCAGUUCGUCAAUGUAAUGUAGGCAUAUAUUCCGUAUAUAUAGUCAUACGUGCUUAUGGAAAAGAACUUGCAUGACAUCUAUUGUCCAUCCCUCCCAUGGCAGCGGGGUCCUAAUGGAAACUAAGGGAUAUUAAGGUCUCCUUUUAAUAGAGAAGCGGAACAAAGCAUUAGCACUUAGUGAAUACAUGAACUCCUCAUACUAUGGUCAUCUCCGGGAGUGGUUCCGGCUAUUGUCACUCCGGGGUUGCCGGGUCAUAACACAUAGUAGGUGACUACAACUUGCAAGAUAGGAUCAAUAACACACAUAUAUUGAUAAAAACAUAAUAGGUUCAGAUCUGAAAUCAUGGCACUCGGGCCCUAGUGACAAGCAUUAAGCAUAGCAAAGUAGUAGCAACAUCAAUCUUAGAACAUAGUGGAUACUUGGGAUUAAACCACAUCAAAACUAACUCGAUUACAUGAUAGAUCUCAUCCAACCCAUCACCGUCCAGCAAGCCUAUGAUGAGAUUACUCACGAACGGUGAAGAGCAUCAUGGAAUUGGCGAUGAAGGAUGGUUGGUGAUGAUGACGGCGACGAUUUCCCCUCUCCGGAGGUCAGAACGGACUCCAGAUCUGCCCUCCAGAGGAAGAACAGGUGGUGGCGGCAGCUCCGUGUCGUAAAACACGAUGAACUCUUCUCUCCUAAUUUUUUCUGGGCGAGAGAGACUAUAUAGAGCUGGAGUUGGAGGCGGCGGAGCCACGAGGGCCUCACAAGCCUGCUACGCAUGGCUAGGGGGGCCACGCCUCAUGGGCUUGUUUGCUCUUGGCUCCGUCCCUCCAGGUAAUUCUUGCACCAGUAUUUUUCAUAUAUUCCACAAAAAAUCUUCGUAAAUUUCCAGGUCAUUCCGAGAACUUUUAUUUCUGCGCAAAAACAACACCAGAGCAAUUCUGCUGAAAACAGCGUCACUCCGGGUUAGUUCCAUUCAAAUCAUGCAAAUUAGAGUCCAAAACAAGGGAAAAAGAGUUUGGAAAAGUAGAUACGAUGGAGACGUAUCAACUCCCCCAAGCUUAAAGUCUUGCUUGUCCUCAAGCAAUUCAGUUGACAAACUGAAAGAGACAAAAGAAAAACCUUUAUGAACUCUGUUUGAUCUUGUUGUUGUAAUUAUGUCUAACUCAUUUUCAGAUUUUCAGCAAGAUCAUAAGCUAACCACAUAAGCAAUGACAUUUAGGUCUCAUGGUAAACUCAUAUCAAUGGCAAAAACAACUAGCGAGCAAUAAUAAUAAGUUUCAGACGUCAACACUUCAAUCAAAAUAAUCAUGAAGCAAUAUGAACAGAUGGUAUCUCGCUUGCUCUUUCUGAGACCGCAAAACAUAAAUGCAGAGCACCUUCAAAGACCAAGGGCUGACUCAACAUUGUAAUUCGUGGCAAAGAAGAUCCAGUCACAGUCAUACUCAAUAUUAAUUAAUAGAAAAGCAUAAAAAUGACGGAGGUGCUCUCUAAUUGGUGCCUUUAUAAGGAGAGGAUGACUCAACAGAAACAUAAAUAGAUAGGCCCUUCGCAGAGGGAAGCAUUGAUUUGCAGAGGUGCCAGAACUCAAGCUUUUAAAACAGAGACAAAUAAUUUUGAGUGGUAUGCUCUCAUUGUCAACGCAAUGACCAAGAGUUUUCACCAUCUUCCAUGCUACACAUAUUAUAGGCGGUUCCCAAAUAGAAAAGUAAAGUUUUGACUCCCCCACCACCGAUCAAUCACACUCCACGACUAGCCGAAUCCUCGGGUGCCGUCCAUACCAACAACAAUCCAGGGGGAGUUUUGUUUGCAAUUAUCUUUUCGAUUUGAGCAUGGAACUGGGCAUUCCAAUUACCGGCCCCUUUCUCGUGAGUGAUAGUGAAUAAACACAUAUCGAGGAUAACACGCCUAGCAUGGAAGAUACUGACCGCCCCUUGUCACCACAUGAGCGGUUCGGGCAUACAAAGCAGAUUAUUACUUGAAGGUUUAGAGAGUGGUACAUGCAAAUUUACUUGGAAUGGCAGGUAGAUACCGCAUAUAGGUAGGUAUGGUGGACUCAUAUGGAACAACUUUGGGUUUAUGGAAGUGGAUGCACAAGCAGUAUUCCCGCUUAGUAAAAGUGAAGGCUAGCAAAAGACUGGAAAGCGACCAACUAGAGAGCGACAACAGUCAUCAAUAUGCAUUGAAAUUAACCAACAUUGAGUGCAAGCAUGAGUAGGACAUAAAUCACCAUAAACAUGAAUAUCAUAGAGGCUAUGUUGAUUUUGUUUCAACUACAUGCGUAAACAUGCGCCAAGUCAAGCCACUUAAAUCAUUCAAAGGAGGAUACCAUCCUAUCAUACUACAUCAUAAUCAUCUUGAAAUUCAUGUUGGCAUCCAACACAAACAAUUAUAAGCUCCUAGCUAAUUAAGCAUGGCAUCAGAAACUAUGAUCUCUAAGUUGUCAUUGCAAAUAUGUUUCUCUCAUAACAAAGCUGAAUUAGGAAGGAUGAGCUAGUCAUAUUUACAAAAACAAAAUAGAUCGAGUUCGUACCAGCUUUUCCAGGCUCAGUCACUUCAUCAUAUAUCAUCAUUAUUGCCUUUCACUUGCACGACCGAAUGAUGUGAAUAAUAAUGAGAGUGUCCGUGCAUUGGACUAAGCUGGAAUCUGAAGCAAACACAGAGGAGAAGACAAAGUAAUAUGGCUCUUUGACGGAUAAACAAUUAUGCAUGUGAGAGCCACUAAACAUUUUAACCAUGGUCUUCUACCUUGACCCAAACAAAAAGAAAACUAUUUACACGGGAAAGCUCCCAACAAGCAAAAGAAAAACGGGAAAUCUUUUUUGGUUUUCUUUUUAAACACCACUAAGCAAGCUGGAAAGUAAACUUACAACUAAUUUUUUUUUUCUCAAACUAGACAAACACACGAGAAGAAAGCGAGAAAAAUAAAUAAACUAGCAUGGAUGAUACAAUGGCAAGGUGUGAACACCGACUAUCAAAGUGAAAGUGUGAGCAUGAAUAUAAAGUCAGUGAGAAACACGUACUCCCCCAAGCUUAGGCUUUUGGCCUAAGUUGGUCUACUCCCAUGGAGGGAAAUAACCGUCUUCGGGGUACUCCGGAGUGUACUGAGCGUGCCACUGUUGGGUGAGCUCCUCUGGCUCCCACUGAUAAACUAGCGCCUGGUACUCGACUGGUAGCUCGGGCACGGGCGCCUGUGGUGGCGCUAUGCUCCAAUAUGCAAAGAUGUCCGAGGGCAUAAUAAUGUACUUGCCUAUAUGAAGAUUGAACAGAGAAGGAGCAGGCAAAGUAAUAGUCUCACGAGUACCCUGGCUAAAUAUGAGGUUAUAAAUCAUCCUCUUAUUUAUAUCUUUAUCAAGAAAGUCAUGGCGAACCAUGCUAUCAUAAUCUAGAUAUCUCUCAGGAAGAAGCAUCUCUUCUUCCUCGUACAGCCUAAUAGGUAUCUCAAAAUGUUUAGCAAGACGGGUAGCAUAGAUACCUUCAUAAACAGCGCCUUUAGUACGGUUCGUGUUCAACCGUUGAGCCACUAUAGCGCCCAAGCUAUAAGUUUUAUCAUUAUAAAGAGCUUCGCGCAAAACCGCAAGAUCUGGGGAGCUAAGAGCCCCAUCUUUCCCACGGCCAAUCAAACAUUUUUCCACAAAUAAUGAGAGAUACCGAAGCACGGGAAAAAUGUACACUAGCAACUCUAGCGCAAGAUACUCCUCUCUCCUCUCCUACAUCAAUAGUAUCAAUGAAAGCCUCCAAGUCCCGUGGACGAGGUUCAUGAAUAUCCCCAACAUAAGGUAAUUUGCAAACAUUGCAAAAAUCCUGAAGUGACAUGCGCUGGGGGAUAUGAUAUAACUUGAACUCAACCAUAGGAGGACUCUUCCUUGGAUAGAAAUUAAAGCUUUGCACGAAAGUAUUAGUGAGGAGGAGGUAUUGUGGACACUUAUCUUCAACAAAUGCGGUAAGGCAUGUGUUCUCCACCAUGUAAUAAAAAUCCUCAUAAAGACCGGCGGCACGUAAGAACACAUCGCUUGGCCACUCGCAUGCUCGAACUUAUGCAACUCGGGGGACCGGAUACUUGGGUUUCUUCUUCUCAUUUUCAUCUUCCUUGGGGUCACGACUUGAAGAGCCUCUUAGGAACCUCCUCAUCUUUUAAUUUUUCUUUCUCUGAAAAUUUCUGAAAUUUUUAGCUACUCAAAAGAAAAGUGAACAAUGCUCAACAAAACUCAUAGCAACUACUCCUACAAGUGCCUAGAGGCCAUAUCAUGCAUCAAAACUACUUGGGACCAACUAGAAUUAACAUGCAAAGCUCAAGAACAGGGUCACCAAGGCAGCAAAAAUAUGCAACGAAUAAAGCACUAGAGAAAAAACUAAUUGGACCAAUGGAGGAGUCACAUACCAAGGAACAAUUUCCCCAAAACAGUUUGGUAAAUGGGGCUUUGCACAAGGAGAUCGAAAAAUGCUGCAAGAAGAGCAAGAACAUGGGUUUGAACUAUGGAAUGAUUUUUUUUGGAGGUGGGAGAAGGAGAUGGGAGCUGGAAUAAGUUGAGGGGGGCCACGUGGGACCCACAAGCCCGCCAGGUGCGGCCAGGGGGGGUGCCCGCGCCUCUUGGGCCUGUGGCCCACUGGUGCAUCCCCCUGACUAGCUCUCUAUCUCAGAAUUUUUCAAAAAUUCCAGAAAAAAUCAUACUUGAUUUUCAAGGCAAUUGAAGAACUUUUAUUUUCGGGACACUUUUUUGAGGGACGGAAAAAGUAGAUAACAGGAAAAUAAAGCUAAAUUUAUCAUUUUUCCUCUAAACAACGGAAAGUAAAAGUUCGGAAGAGAAGGUUGUGACUCCUAGAUUCAUCCAUCUCAUGGUCAUCAAAAGAAAUCCGUCAAUGAGGUUUAUCAAGUCUCCUUGAAAAGCUUUUUUCGAAUCACAUAGAACCGGAGAAUUUUCGAAUAAUCACUAGGUUACCUCAAUGGGGAUGUGCAUAUCCCCAACAAGUAAAUCAUACUUCAUCUUGACAGUAGGUAUAUAUAGGGCAUUCAAAGCUUCCAAUAAGAAUUAAUGAAGUUUUUUCAAUAGCAUUGAUGCAAUGUACUCGAUAUUGUUUCUUUGGAAAGUGCACCGUGUGCUCAUUACCAUUAACAUGGAAAGUGACAUUGCCUUUGUUGCAAUCAAUAACAGCCCCUACAGUGUUUAAAAAGUGUCUUCCAUGGAUGACCGCCAUGGCAUCAUCCUCGGGAAUAUCCUAAAUAACAAAGUCCGUUAAUAUAGUAAUGUUAGCAACCACAACAGGCACAUCCUUGCAAAUGCCUAUAGGAAAAGCAAUUGAUUUGUCAGCCAUUUGCAAAGACAUUUCAGUGGGUGUCAACUUAUCCAAUUCAAGUCCCCGAUAAAGAGAGAGAGGCAUAACACUAACACCAACUCCAAGAUCGCAUAAAGCAGUUCUAACAUAAUUUCCUUUAAUGGAGCAAGGUAUAGUAGGCACUCCGGGAUCACCUAGUUUCUUAGGAGUUCCACCCUUGAAGGUGUAAUUAGCAAGCAUGGUGGAAAUCUCAACCUCAGGUAUCUUCCUUUUGUUAGUAACAAUAUCUUUCAUGUACUUAGCAUAAGGAGACAUUUUGAGCAUAUCUGUCAAACGCAUUUGCAGAAAGACAACUCUAAUCAUUUCAACAAAGCGCUCAAAAUCCUCAUCAUCCUUUUUCUUCGAUGGUUUGGGAGGAAAGGGCAUGGGUUUCUGAACCCAUGGUUCUCUUUCUUUACCAUGCUUCCUAACAAUGAAGUCGUUCUUAUCGUAUCUCUUGUUCUUAGGUUGUGGGUUAUCAAGAUCAACACUAGGUUCAAUCUUCACAUCCUUAUCAUUACUAGGUUGAGCAUCAUCACGAACACCACUAUCGAUAUUAUCAGUAGGCUCAUGUUCAUCACCAGAUUGCGUUUCAGUAUCAAAAAUAGAGAUAUCAUUUGGAUUCUCAAGUGUAACAGCAGCAGGUUUGCUGGCAUGCAAGUUCCUAUCAUCUUUCUUUUUCUUCCUAUUACUAGGAUGACUAGGUGCCUCAGUGCUAACUCCUUGAGAAUCUUGUUCAAUUCUCUUAGGAUGGCCCUCACGAUACAAAGGUUCCUGAGUCAUUCUGCCACCUCUAGUGACGACUCUAACAGAAUUGUCAUUCAACUCAUUGAGCAAGUCAUUUUGAGCCUUAAGUACUUGUUCUACUUGAGUAGUGACCAUAGAGGCAUGUUUACUCAAAAGCUUAAGAUCAUUGACAUUUCUAUCCACACAAGCACUUACACGAUUAAUCAUGCGAGCAUUUUGUUCCAAUUGUCUGCUAACAUAAUCAUUGAAACUUUGUUGUUUGACAACAAAGUUAUCAAAUUCAUCUAAGCAUAAGCUAGCAGGUUUAUCAAAAGGAAUAUCACUCUCAUUGAAUCUACGAAGAGAAUUUACCUCUACUACCUGUGUCGGGUUAUCAAGACCAUGUAUUUCUUCAAUAGGUGGUAGAUUCUUAACAUCUUUAGAUUUAAUACCUUUCUCUUGCAUAGCUUUCUUGGCUUCUUGCAUAUCUUCAGGACUAAGGAAUAGAAUACCUCUUUUCUUCGGAGUUGGCUUCGGAGGUGGUUCGGGAAUAGACCAAGCAUUAUCAUUGCUCAAGAUAUUAUUCAAUAGAAUUUCAGCUUGUUCCACAGUUCGUUCCCUGAAAACACAACCAGCACAACUAUCUAGGUGGUCCCUAGAAGCAUGGAUUAGUCCAUUAUAAAAGAUAUCAAGUAUUUCAUUCUUCUCAAGAGGGUGAUCAGGCAAAACAUUCAGUAGCUGGACAAGCCUCCCCCAAGCUUGUGGGAUACUCUCUUCUUCAACUUGCACAAAGUUAUAUAUAUCCUGCAAGGCAGCUUGUUUCUUAUGGGCAGGAAAAUAUUUCUCAGAGAAGUGGUAAAUCAUAUCCUGGGGACUACGCACACAACCAGGAGCAAGAGAAGUAAACCAAGUCUUAGCAUCACCCUUUAGCGAGAAAGGAAACAACUUAAGGAUAUAGUAAUGGCGAAUCUUUUCCUCAUUCAUGAAUAGGGUUGCUAUAUCAUUCAGCUUAGUAAGAUGUGCUACAACCGUUUCAGGCUCAUAACCAUGAAAAUGAUCAGUUUCGACCAAAGUGAUUAACUCAGGAUCGACAGAGAAUUCAUAAUCCUUAUCAGUCACAAAGAUGGGUGAAGUAGCAAACUUAGGAUCGUAUUUCAUUCUAGCAUUCAGAGAUUUUUAUUCCCACUUGCGUAAUAAACAAGAUCAUAGCUAUCCUUACAAGCAAGAAAGUCUUCAGCUACCUCUCCCUCCAUAACAUAACCCUCAGGUAUAUCAGGCAAUUCAUAUCUAGGAGAGCUAGUUCUAACAGGUGAAACAACAGGUUCUACUUCAAUAAUUUCAGCAGUUUUAGAAGUAUCAUCACAUUCAGCAGUAACUCUAGCAAUUUGUGCAUCAAGAAAUGCACCUAGUGGUGAAGCAGUAUCAAGCAAAGCAUCAUGGAUAGCAGAAGUAGCAUCAUCAAGCAUAGGCGACACAUCAGAAUUUCUAGUAGGUGGUGGUGUCGCAAACUUACUCAUAACUGAAGGUGAAUCAAGUGCAGAGCUAGAUGGCAGUUCCUUACCUGUCCUCGUAGUUGAGGGCAAGACUUUAGUUUUUGGAUCUCUCGGAUUCCUCAUAGUGAUCAACAGACGUAAAUCCCAAGUGACUCAGAGAAUAGAGCUAGGCCUCCCCGGCAAUGGCGCUAGAAAAUAGUCUUGAUAACCCACAAGUAUAGGGGAUCGCAACAGUUUUCGAGGGUAGAGUAUUCAACCCAAAUUUGUUGAUUCGACACAAGGGGAAGCCAAAGAAUAUUCUCGAGUAUUAGCAGUUGAGUUGUCAAUUCAACCACACCUGAAAGACUUAGUAUCUGUAGCAAAGUUUAUGUAGCAGAGUAGUGUGAUAGUAACAGUAGCAGCAGUGACAACAGUAGCGAUAACAGCAGCUGCGGUAAAGUAACGUAGCAAGGACCAAUAGGAAAAGCUCGUAGGCAUUGGAUCGGUGAUGGAUAAUUAUAUUGGAUGACAUUCAUCAUGUAACAGUUAUAACAGGGGGUGAUUUGUAACUAGCUCCAGUUCGUCAAUGUAAUGUAGGCAUGCAUUCCGUAUAUAGUCAUACGUGCUUAUGGAAAACAACUUGCAUGACAUCUAUUGUCCAUCCCUCCCGUGGCAGCGGGGUCCUAAUGGAAACUAAGGGAUAUUAAGGUCUCCUUUUAAUAGAGAAGCGGAACAAAGCAUUAGCACUUAGUGAAUACAUGAACUCCUCAUACUAUGGUCAUCUCCGGGAGUGGUUCCGGCUAUUGUCACUCCGGGGUUGCCGGGUCAUAACACAUAGUAGGUGACUACAACUUGCAAGAUAGGAUCAAUAACACACAUAUAUUGAUAAAAACAUAAUAGGUUCAGAUCUGAAAUCAUGGCACUCGGGCCCUAGUGACAAGCAUGAAGCAUAGCAAAGUAGUAGCAACAUCAAUCUUAGAACUAACUCGAUUACAUGAUAGAUCUCAUCCAACCCAUCACCGUCUAGCAAGGCUACGAUGAGAUUACUCACGAAUGGUGAAGAGCAUCAUGGAAUAGGCGAUGAAGGAUGGUUGGUGAUGACGACGGCGAUGAUUUCCCCUCUCCGGAGCCCGGAACGGACUCCAGAUCUGCCCUCUAGAGGAAGAAUUGGUGGUGGCGGCGGCUCCGUGUCGUAAAACGCGAUGAACUCUUCUCUCCUAAUUUUUUUUGGGUGAGAGAGACUAAUAGAGCUGGAGUUGGAGGCGGCUAGGCCACGAGUGCCUCACAAGCCUGCCAGGCGCGACCAGGGGGGUGGCCCGCGCCUCCUGGGCUUGUGGCCCCUGGCUCCGUCCCUCCAGGUAAUUCUUGCGCCAGUAUUUUUUAUAUAUUCCACAAAAAAUCCUCGUAAAAUUCCAGGUCAUUCCGAAAAUUUUAUUUCUGCGCAAAAACAGCACCAUGACAAUUCUGGUGAAAACAGCGUCAGUCCGGAUUAGUUCCAUUCAAAUCAUGCAAACUAGAGUCCAAAACAAGGGCAAAAGAGUUUGGAAAAGUAGAUACGAUGGAGACAUAUCACACACACACGCCAAAGUUAUCAGGACCGGGUACGGGGGGUUAUAUUUCACCAACAGCCCUCCCCCACCCAUCACCAUCGCCGCCAAAAGUUACCAGGACUGGGGUACAUAAGUUAUCAUGUUUGCGAUGUGUAAGUUAUCAUGCUAUUUACACAAAUAGUUAUCGAGGUAUAUUUCAUCAACAUCCCCCCACCUCACCACCGUCACCAAAGUUACUAGGAUUGUCGUACAUAAGUUAUCAAGUCUGCGAUGUGUGAGUUAUCUUGCUAUUCACACACAAAGUUACCGGGGAUACAUUUCAUCAGCCAACCCCACCCGGUCACCAAUUUUAUCAAGACUAGGUUACAUUAGUUAUCAGGUCUACAAUUUGUGAGUUACCAUGCUAUUCACAUAAAAGUUACCGGGGUAUAUUUCAUCACCCUUCCCUCGCGAAAAGUACGAGAACCGAGGUGCAUAAGUUAUCGGAUCUUCGAUAUGUGAGUUAUCAUGCUAUUGCCACAAAGUUUACCUAGGGAUACUUGAUCACCCCCCCCCUCACACACACACCAAAGUUAUCAGGACCGGGUACCUAAAUUAUUAGGUCUGUGAUGUGUGAGUUAUCAGGGUGUUUAUAUGUAAGUUAUUAGGUCCACGAUGCUUUAAUUACCAUGUUAUUCACACAACAUUAUUGGAAGAUGUUUCAACAAAAAAAUCAGGUCAAAAUAAUCCCGGUGUUGUUUGUACGUGGGUUAUCAACUAUGUUGUGCAUGUAUUACAUGCUAUGUACGUGGGUCAUCAACAAUAGAUCUUGUUUCCAAGAUCUCGUCACUAAUAAAAAAGGUUGGAGGAAAAAAUUUCAUGUCUCGUUAACUUCAGUGCAACCACGAUGAUAACUUAUGUAGCACCGAUGUGAUAACUUAGGUAUCCGAGAUGUGGUAACUUUUGACGAGAAAAAAUAUCGUCGGAACAUAUCAACAUGAGAGCUAGUUUUGAAGGUCUCGCCGAGACGAUUUUUUAUGUGAAAACGGAUUUUGAAUCGAGGCAAUGGUUUGAGCUCCACAACAUUUUGAAGUUUAAAUUUUGUUGAAAUCUUUGAUGACAACAACAUUUUUGUCUCUAUAUACAUGCAUGCACACUUAAGAUCAAUUAGCAAUUUACUUUUUUAUUUACUCCUAAAACAUCCCAUGCAACCCCUCGUCAUUGGAUUGAAAAUAAACAUCGUCGGACUAGUGCGGUCGUUAAAUACCGGAUGUAUGAAAAAUAGCAAUCUCGAAUUUGAAAAGCUGACAACUACAUAUACUAAAGCGUUAAUAAUAGAAAGUACUACCUCCGUUACAGUUUAAAAGACACGCACGUGUACCUAGAUCAUUAAUU
rnacentral:lncRNA from 1 species